rnacentral:misc_RNA from 1 species
GUACAUUAAGUGCUUACGCACAACAAUAAUUUCAUUACAUUCGAGUAGGUGUAAAAAUUCCUCUGCCGGCCAAGGCUAGCAAGAGGCCAAAGGUUCACAGGGUAUUGGAUGAAAAGCCGCCAGCGUGCACUUGCCAGAGCUGGCCAGCACUGAAGACAACGAUUCGCAAUCAAUAAUGAUCCUUCCGCAGGUUCACCUACGGAAA